rnacentral:misc_RNA from 1 species
UAGCCGGGCUGCUCACGGCGCUGCAACGGCGCACCUCUCUCGAUACCAGUCAGGUCGACGAUGUGGUGCUUGGUUGCGUGACGCCCGUCGGCGAUCAAGGCUCCGACAUUGCCAAAGGCCGCGACCCAGGUGGCGGAUUGGGACGUCAGCGUGGCGGGUUUGCAGAUCAACCGCUUCUGCGCCUCGGGGUUGGAGGCGGUGAACCUCGGCGCAAUGAAAGUGCGUUCCGGCUUCGAAGACCUGGUGGUGGUCGGCGGCGUCGAGUCCAUGUCCCGCGUGCCGAUGGGCAGCGAUGGUGGCGCUUGGGCACACGACCCGGAAACCAGUUUUCACAGCCAUUUCGCCCCUCAAGGCGUGGGCGCUGACCUGAUCGCCACGCUGGAAGGCUUCAGCCGUCAGGACGUCGAUGCCUAUGCGCUGCACUCUCAGCAAAAGGCUGCGCGGGCGAGGGCCGACGGUUCGUUCAACAAAUCGUUGGUGCCGGUGCAGGACCAGAACGGCAAUCAUCCUGCUCGAUCACGAUGAAUUCAUUCGCGCCGGAUCGACCCUGGAAGGCUUGGGCCAGCUCAAGCCUAGCUUCGAGAUGAUCGGGCAAAUGGGCUUCGAUGCCACGGCACUUCGGGUCUACAGCCAUGUCGAGCGGAUCGACCACGUUCACACGGCGGGUAACAGUUCCGGGAUCGUCGAUGGCGCCGCGCUGAUGCUGAUCGGCUCCGAGGCCAAGGGCCGCGCGCUGGGUUUGCAGCCGCGGGCGCGAAUCGUCGCCACCGCCGUCACCAGCACCGACCCGACCAUCAUGCUCACCGGCCCCGCGCCGGCCACCCGCAAGGCUCUGGCCAAGGCCGGGUUGCGGGUCGAAGACAUCGACCUGUUCGAGGUCAACGAAGCGUUUGCCUCGGUGGUGCUGAAAUUCAUCAAGGACAUGGCAAUCGAUCCGGACAAGGUCAACGUCAACGGCGGCUCCAUCGCCAUGGGCCACCCGCUGGGCGCCACCGGCUGCGCGAUCCUCGGCACGCUGCUCGAUGAACUGGAAACCCGGCGCCUGCGCUAUGGCCUCGCGACGCUGUGUGUCGGCGGCGGCAUGGGCAUCGCCACCAUCAUCGAACGCCUCUGAGCCCGACCGACUUCAAGGAAACCCUUUCAUGACCGAAGCCAUCCGUUACGAAAAAGGUCAGGACCAGAUCGUCGUCCUGACCAUCGACAUGCCGGGCCAGAGCGCCAACACCAUGAACGCGGACUACCGCGAAGCCAUGGCCGCGUGUGUCGCCAGACUGGUUGCCGAAAAAGACACUAUCGCCGGCGUGAUCAUCACCUCGGCCAAGAAAACCUUCUUCGCCGGCGGCGACCUCAACGAACUGAUCAAGGUCGGCAAGCCCGAAGCCAAAGCCUUUUACGACAUGGUGCUGACACUCAAAGGGCAACUGCGCACCCUUGAGACCCUCGGUAAACCGGUGGUCGCCGCGAUCAACGGCGCCGCGUUGGGUGGCGGUUGGGAAAUCUGCCUGGCGUGCCAUCACCGGGUUGCGCUGGACGAUUCUUCGGUGCAACUCGGUCUGCCGGAAGUCACCCUCGGCCUGUUUGCCGGGCGGUGGCGGGGUGGUGCGCAUGGUGCGAAAUGCUCGGUAUUGAAAAAGCCUUGCCCUAUCUGCUCGAAGGCAAGAAGGUCCGGCCGCAGCAGGCGCUACGGGCAGGUUUGAUUGAUGAGUUGGCGGCGGAUCGUGACGAACUGCUGGCCAAGGCGCGCGCCUGGAUUAUUGCCCAUCCUGCGGCUGUGCAGCGUUGGGACGUGAAGGGUUACCAGAUUCCCGGUGGCACGCCGUCGAACCCGAAAGUCGCGCAAAUGCUGGCCAUCGCGCCGUCGAUCCUGCGCAGCAAAACCCAGGGCUGCCUGCCUGCGCCAGAGAAAAUCCUCUGCGCGGCGGUAGAGGGUGCUCAGGUGGAUUUCGACACCGCGCACUUGAUCGAAACUCGUUACUUCACCGAAUUGACCACCGGCCAGGUGUCGAAAAACCUGAUUGGCACGUUCUGGUUCCAGCUCAACGAAAUCAAUGCCGGUGGCUCGCGGCCCCAAGGCUUUGCACCCUACGUGACGCGUCGCGUGGGUGUGCUGGGCGCCGGCAUGAUGGGCGCCGGAAUCGCCUUUGUCAGCGCAUCGGCCGGCAUCGAGGUGGUGCUCAAGGACAUCAAUCUUGCGGCGGCACAGAAGGGCAAGGCUCAUUCGGCAGCGCUGCUGGACAAGAAGGUUGCGCGUGGCCAAUUGAAUGCCGAUCAACGCGAUGCCACGCUGGCGCGAAUUCACCCCACUGAAAGCGAUGCCGACCUGGCCGGCUGUGAUCUGAUCAUUGAAGCGGUGUUUGAAGAUCGCGAUUUGAAAGCCAGCGUCUCUUCGGCGGCGCAAAAGAUCGUUGGCCCGGAGGCGGUGAUUGCAUCCAACACGUCGACCUUGCCCAUCAGCGGCCUCGCGACUGCGGUGCCGGAUCAGAGCAAGUUCAUCGGCCUGCAUUUCUUCAGCCCCGUGGAGAAAAUGCCCUUGGUAGAAAUCAUCAAAGGCACCCACACCAGCGACGAAACCCUGGCGCGCGGGUUCUAUUUCGUACAGCAAAUCAAGAAAACGCCGAUUGUGGUCAACGACAGCCGUGGUUUCUUUACCUCGCGGGUGUUCGGCACCUUCACCAACGAAGGCAUCGCCAUGCUGGGCGAAGGCGUCAGCGCGCCGAUGAUCGAGACCGAAGCGCGCAAGGCCGGCAUGCCGAUCGGACCUCUGGCGAUCUCCGA